rnacentral:misc_RNA from 1 species
GAUGAAGAACGUAGCGAAAUGCGAUAAGCAAUGUGAAUUGCAGAAUUCAGUGAAUCAUCGAAUCUUUGAACGCACAUUGCGCCCCCUGGUAUUCCGGGGGGCAUGCCUGUCCGAGCGUCAUUACAACCCUCAAGCUCAGCUUGGUAUUGGGCCCCGCCGACCCGGCGGGCCCUAAAGUCAGUGGCGGUGCCGUCCGGCUCCGAGCGUAGUAAUUCUUCUCGCUCUGGAGGUCCGGUCGUGUGCUCGCCAGCAACCCCCAAUUUUUUCAGGUUGACCUCGGAUCAGGUAGGGAUACCCGCUGAACUUAAGCAUAUCAAUAAGCGGAGGA